rnacentral:rRNA from 1 species
CCUACGGGAGGCAGCAGUGGGGAAUAUUGGACAAUGGGCGAAAGCCUGAUCCAGCAAUUCCGCGUGUGUGAAGAAGGCCUUCGGGUUGUAAAGCACUUUAGUGGGGGAAGAAACAGCUUGGCCACACCAAGCCUUGACGGUACCCCAAGAAUAAGCACCGGCUAACUCUGUGCCAGCAGCCGCGGUAAUACAGAGGGUGCAAGCGUUAAUCGGAUUUACUGGGCGUAAAGGGUGCGUAGGUGGCUAUUUAAGUCGGAUGUGAAAGCCCGGGGCUCAACCUCGGAAUUGCAUUCGAUACUGAGUGGCUAGAGUUCGGUAGAGGGCGGCGGAAUUUCCGGUGUAGCGGUGAAAUGCGUAGAUAUCGGAAGGAACAUCAAUGGCGAAGGCAGCCGCCUGGGCCUGGACUGACACUGAGGCACGAAAGCGUGGGUAGCAAACAGGAUUAGAUACCCUGGUAGUCCACGCCGUAAACGAUGAGAACUUGACGUUGGUUCGUUUUACGAAUCGGUGUCGCAGCUACGACGAUAAGACUCUCCGCCGUCGGGAGGUACGGCCGGCCGACGGUUAGGUAAACGUAACGUAAAGGUAAAGUUAGUUACGGUACGUUGAGACGUUGCCGACGGACGACGACGAGGGAGGAGG